rnacentral:lncRNA from 1 species
GAUGCUAUCAGCCCAGCCUGGUAUUCGAUGCCUGCUUAUGGCAAUUAUUACAACCUCGCCGCUUCUACCCCUACACCGAAGUCAAGCUGUUAUUAUUUUUACUAUACCUCGUGGAAUAGUUGGCCAUACAAACUUCAUCCAGAAGGAACACCUUGCUGGUUACGGGGGACGUACGGCGAGGUGGGUUAUUGUAGCAAAGGAACGUGCUAUGCGAAUAUGA